AUUGAACGCUGGCGGCAUGCCUUACACAUGCAAGUCGAACGGCAGCGGACCUUCGGGUGCCGGCGAGUGGCGAACGGGUGAGUAAUGCAUCGGAACGUACCUUUCAGUGGGGGAUAACGUAGCGAAAGUUACGCUAAUACCGCAUAUUCUGUGAGCAGGAAAGCAGGGGAUCGCAAGACCUUGCGCUGAUUGAGCGGCCGAUGUCAGAUUAGCUAGUUGGUGAGGUAAAGGCUCACCAAGGCGACGAUCUGUAGCCGGUCUGAGAGGAUGAUCCGCCACACUGGAACUGAGACACGGUCCAGACUCCUACGGGAGGCAGCAGUGGGGAAUUUUGGACAAUGGGGGCAACCCUGAUCCAGCCAUGCCGCGUGAGUGAGGAAGGCCUUCGGGUUGUAAAGCUCUUUCGGCCGGGAAGAAAUCGCACGGGCUAAUACCCUGUGUGGAUGACGGUACCGGAAUAAGAAGCACCGGCUAACCACGUGCCAGCCGCCGCGGUAACAC
rnacentral:rRNA from 1 species